AUUGAACGCUGGCGGAAUGCUUUACACAUGCAAGUCGAGCGGCAGCGCGGGGCAACCUGGCGGCGAGCGGCGAACGGGUGAGUAACAUAUCGGAACGUACCCAGUCGUGGGGGAUAACUAUCCGAAAGGAUAGCUAAUACCGCAUACGACCUGAGGGUGAAAGCGGGGGACCGAAAGGCCUCGCGCGAUUGGAGCGGCCGAUAUCGGAUUAGCUAGUUGGUGAGGUAAAGGCUCACCAAGGCGACGAUCCGUAGCUGGUCUGAGAGGACGACCAGCCACACUGGAACUGAGACACGGUCCAGACUCCUACGGGAGGCAGCAGUGGGGAAUUUUGGACAAUGGGGGCGAACCCUGAUCCAGCCAUUCCGCGUGAGUGAAGAAGGCCUUCGGGUUGGUAAAGUACGUCUUUCGGUUGGGGGUAAGGAAAGUUAGUACGACAGGAGUAAAUACCUUAGUUGUAGAUGACGGU
rnacentral:rRNA from 1 species